UCAUGCAAGUCGAACGGAAAGGCCCUUUCGGGGGUACUCGAGUGGCGAACGGGUGAGUAACACGUGGGUGAUCUGCCCUGCACUUUGGGAUAAGCCUGGGAAACUGGGUCUAAUACCGAAUACACCUCAUGGGAUGCAUGUUUUGUGGGGGAAAGCUUUUGCGGUGUGGGAUGGGCCCGCGGCCUAUCAGCUUGUUGGUGAGGUUAUGGCUUACCAAGGCGACGACGGGUAGCCGGCCUGAGAGGGUGUCCGGCCACACUGGGACUGAGAUACGGCCCAGACUCCUACGGGAGGCAGCAGUGGGGAAUAUUGCACAAUGGGCGCAAGCCUGAUGCAGCGACGCCGCGUGAGGGAUGACGGCCUUCGGGUUGUAAACCUCUUUCAGCAGGGACGAAGCGCAAGUGACGGUACUACAGAAGAAUUC
rnacentral:rRNA from 1 species